CAAAUAUUAAAGGCAACGCCUGCCCAGUGAAUAAUUAAACGGCCGCGGUACUCUAACCGUGCAAAGGUAGCAUAAUCAUUUGUCUAUUAAUUGUAGACCUGUAUGAAAGGCAAAAUGAGGAUUUAACUGUCUCUUAUAAUAAAUCUAUUAAACUGAUCUACUAGUAAAAAAGCUAGAAUACCAACAUAAGACCAGAAGACCCUGUGAAGCUUAAACUAAACUAUUAAACCUUAUAAUAACUACUUUCGGUUGGGGCGACCUUGGAAAAAAAAAGAACUUCCAAUACACGUGACUUACCCCACACAACUAGGCCUACAAGCCAACAAACGACCCAGUAUUACUGACAAUCGAACAAAGUUACUCCAGGGAUAACAGCGCCAUCUUCUUCAAGAGCCCAUAUCAAAAAGAAGGUUUACGACCUCGAUGUUGGAUCAGGACAUCCCAAUGGUGCAGCCGCUAUUAAAGGUUCGUUUGUUCAACGAUUAAUGUCCUACGUGAUCAACAUGCAC
rnacentral:rRNA from 1 species